rnacentral:rRNA from 1 species
AAGCUCGUAGUAGAAGCUCGGGCUCCGGCCGACUGGUCCGCCUCACCGCGUGCACUGGUUCGGCCGGGCCUUCACCUUCUGCGGAACCGCAUCUCCUUCACUGGGGGUGUCGGGGAAACAGGACGUUUACUGUGAAAAAAUUAGAGUGCUCCAGGCAGGCCUAUGCUCGAAUAGAUUAGCAUGGAAUAAUGGAAUAGGACGUGUGGUCUUAUUUCGUUGGUUUCUAGGACCGCCGUAAUGAUUAAUAGGGACAGUCGGGGGCAUCAGUAUUCAAUCGUCAGAGGUGAAAUUCUUGGAUCGAUUGAAGACUAACUACUGCGAAAGCAUUUGCCAAGGAUGUUUUCAUUUAUCAGGAACGAAAGUUAGGGGAUCGAAGACGAUCAGAUACCGUCGUAGUCUUAACCAUAAACUAUGCCGACUAGGGAUCGGACGGUGUUAUUUCUUGACCCGUUCGGCA